UAACACGUGGGUAACCUGCCUUAUAGUGGGGGAUAGCCUUUCGAAAGGAAGAUUAAUACCGCAUAAGAUUGUAGUAUCGCAUGAUAUAGCAAUUAAAGGAGCAAUUCGCUAUAAGAUGGACCCGCGUCGCAUUAGCUAGUUGGUGAGGUAAUGGCUCACCAAGGCGACGAUGCGUAGCCGACCUGAGAGGGUGAACGGCCACAUUGGGACUGAGACACGGCCCAGACUCCUACGGGAGGCAGCAUG
rnacentral:rRNA from 1 species